rnacentral:rRNA from 1 species
UACGAAGGGGGCUAGCGUUGCUCGGAAUCACUGGGCGUAAAGCGCACGUAGGCGGAUCGUUAAGUCAGGGGUGAAAUCCUGGAGCUCAACUCCAGAACUGCCUUUGAUACUGGCGACCUUGAGUCCGGGAGAGGUGAGUGGAACUGCGAGUGUAGAGGUGAAAUUCGUAGAUAUCGUAAGGAAGACCAGUGGCGAAGGCGGGUCUCUGGUACGUGACUGACGCUGAGACGCGAAAGCGUGGGGAGCGAACAGG